ACACCUGGCACGACGAGCACAUGCAUCGGCAGCAGACGGUACCCUGACCACGAAGCAACCUUACUCCAAGUGGAAUGAUCCUUGUGGUGUGAGGAUGCUGUGGAAGUGUGUUCAUGGAGUUCAGCAGGAUUGUGGGCAAGAACCUCAAGCAGGAAUUCUAUGAGAGCAUCGAUCGGCACAGUCCUUGUCUCCUCGAGUUAUUUUGAUCCAAGAGAGGGAAUGUUGGACAGUUGUUGACACAGAUUUCACAACAGACCAAUACUACAGAGCCAACUGCGAUCCGGACACAGGUGCUCAGAGGGCUUCCUAUCAUCCUUGGGGACAACCCCACAAACUUCUUCAAAGCAGGCUUUGAAUCUGAUGAUGAUG